GACGAACGCUGGCGGCGUGCUUAACACAUGCAAGUCGAACGGAGCGAAUGAAAGCUUGCUUUUAUAAGCUUAGUAGCAAACGGGUGAGUAACACGUAGACAACCUGCCGACAGGAUGGGGACAACAUUCCGAAAGGAAUGCUAAUACCGAAUGAAGUGCAGGGGAGGCAUCUCCCCUGCAUGAAAGAUGGCCUCUAUAUAUAAGCUAUCACCUGUUGAUGGGUCUGCGUCUGAUUAGCUGGUAGGUGAGGUAACGGCUCACCUAGGCGACGAUCAGUAGCCGGUCUGAGAGGAUGAACGGCCACAUUGGGACUGAGACACGGCCCAGACUCCUACGGGAGGCAGCAGUGGGGAAUCUUCCGCAAUGGGCGCAAGCCUGACGGAGCAACGCCGCGUGAGUGAAGAAGGUCUUCGGAUCGUAAAGCUCUGUUGAUGGGGACGAACGUGCCUAAUGCGAAUAGUUUUAGUAAUGACG
rnacentral:rRNA from 1 species